CAUUUGCCUCCUUUUCUAGCCU
rnacentral:siRNA from 1 species